CCUACGGGGGGCUGCAGUGGGGAAUAUUGGGCAAUGGACGCAAGUCUGACCCAGCAACGCCGCGUGAAGGAAGAAGGCUUUCGGGUUGUAAACUUCUUUUAAGGGGGAAGAGCAGAAGACGGUACCCCUUGAAUAAGCCACGGCUAACUACGUGCCAGCAGCCGCGGUAAUACGUAGGUGGCAAGCGUUGUCCGGAUUUACUGGGUGUAAAGGGCGUGCAGCCGGGAAGACAAGUCAGAUGUGAAAUCCCGCGGCUCAACCGCGGAACUGCAUUUGAAACUGUAUGGCUGGAGUGCAGGAGAGGCAGGCGGAAGUCCUAGUGUAGCGGUGAAAUGCGUAGAUAUUAGGAGGAACACCAGUGGCGAAGGCGGCCUGCUGGACUGUAACUGACGUUGAGGCUCGAAAGCGUGGGGAGCAAACAGGAUUAGAUACCCUUGUAGUC
rnacentral:rRNA from 1 species